UCCAAACUUAAAUGCAUAAAAUAAAUUGAUUUGGUCUCCAAAAAAAAAAAAAAUCCCUUUAUUUUAUAAUCUGAGUCAAUGCUUGGUUAAUCCCAGGCACAGCAACACCACUUAUGAUCCAACCACUUAGGAUCCAACCAUAAUUUUGCAUAUCUGAUAUUAAAUUUUCAUUAUAUGAUGUUACAGUAAACAUGAAUACACAAGGAACAUUACAUUUCAAGAUUGAUUAUAAGCAUCAACCCACAUAUUAAUAACUUCAAAUCUGAAUAAUUUCUUUUGAAAAAUCAUGCUAUUUGAUUUUGAGCCUAACAUGUAGUGCGGGAUAAAGUGACUUAAAAUAUUAUAGUUUUGACUGGUUGAUUCUGUCAUUCACAAACAUAAAUCUCAGUGAACAACACUACAGGCCAGGUUAGCGGUUGGCUUUGAGACUUAUUGUCAGAUGGCUGGUCAAAGAACUGCAGUAGCAAUCCGUCGCCUGUAAGAACUUCAGUAGCAAUCCGUCGUCUGUAAAAACUUCUUUCUCCAUCUGACAGAUGCAAAUAUUGAUUGUAUACGAAUCAUAUGAUUUAGGUUGAAUUGGUUUUGCACUUGCAACAAUAGGACGUAUGUGAGAAACUGGCGGAUGACCUGAUCAUGCAAUCAGCCUUGUAUUUUCUGUUUCUUACAUUUGAAUGAAUAUUUAGCUAAUCUGACAUUUUUCCCCAUUUUCCACAUGCAGGUUCAUCAUGCUACGAUCAUAGCCAUAUGGUUUGUAAAUUCCAUCAAAAUAAAUAUGUUUUGAGAUUUAUUCGGCAAUCAAUGAAGAAGUGACAUUAGCUUAUUCAGACAAGACUGCGAAGAUAAUUACGCAACAGACUUGGAUUCUUCUUGAAUUUUGGGACUUGUUCGAGGGCUUCAACGUACGCGGGUGAUAAUCUCCCAGUUAUUUUGGAGAUAUGGGCAAUUGCACGCAAACGGUCUCUACACCGAAGAAUCUUCAUCUUUGGUUGAGGCUCUGGCGGCGGAUCGAAGAUGAGCAUUACACAAGAUGCGAUGAGAGGUCGUGUUGUUUCAUCUCGACCAGCAGUUGGGAUGGCUGGGGAAGAAGCUGGUGGUAUGGCUGGGGAAGAAGCUAGCGGGAUGGCUGAGGAAGAAGACAGGAGCAUUGCAGCUGUAAUGAAAGUGAGAAUGUCCAUCAAUUUUGUUUUCUUGGUGUACGCUGCCUUUCAUGGCUCAUCUUCUUGCCUUAUAAACUUCAGUUUUGCAUUAAAAUUGCAGUUAUGCGUAUUUAUUGCGACUUAAAAGAUGUAACGCCACUCUUUAUUAAUAUUUAAUACUAUUUAGUUCCA